UACGAAGGGGGGCUAGCGUUGCUCGGAAUUACUGGGCGUAAAGGGCGCGUAGGCGGACAGUUAAGUCAGAGGUGAAAGCCCAGGGCUCAACCCUGGAAUAGCCUUUGAUACUGGCUGUCUUGAGUGCGGGAGAGGUGUGUGGAACUCCGAGUGUAGAGGUGAAAUUCGUAGAUAUUCGGAAGAACACCAGAGGCGAAAGGCGGCG
rnacentral:rRNA from 1 species